UUCUUCUCUUCCUCUCUACAGCAUUAAAACAAAAGUCUUCAUCAUCUCAACGUUUACUCUUGCAAAAUCUCAAGAAAGCCAGUGUUCCUUAGAGCACAGCAGACACUGGGAGGAGGCUCUCCUCAUCAGACCUCUGCUCCUUCCCUGUUCCUAAGGCAAGACCACUGAAAGGCACCAGAGCUAUCUAACACAGAGAAGAACUCCUGCCCACACCAGAGAAAACCUGGUUUCAGACCCUGGUAUCCUCAGGGUGGUUGUUCUCCUGUGAGGAACAGCUGGAUGUGACAACGCAGAUGCUGGAAGCUUCCUGAGUGGUGCACCUGGAGACCAGCUGACAACAUGAAAAAGAUCCUUAGAUCUGGCUUGCCAGAAAAGGAGGCAGAAAUCAGCAACCUGAAUUAUGUGGGCUGCUCCGAAAGUAAUGCUUCCUAUUUAUUUCUAUGGAGACUACAACAGGUACAAAGACAACAAUAACGUUACUCAAUAGAGCAAAUUCUCAGCUGCAAAACACUCUUUUCCAACACUGUCAUCAACACUAGCUAUGGAUUUUCAUCAGCCAUGAACAAGAACCUGCACGCUGCAGUCAUAAAAAUCUGCACCGGUGGAGGUAAGCCACUGUCAGUGUCACCACUGCUGAAACACACCACCCACCACCUCGCUGUGCUCACAUCCACUGUUUGGUCUCCAUAAGUAUUUAGGAAGUGUUGAUGAAUGUCAGUGGGUGCCGUUUUUUUUCCACAUGGAGGAAUGUAACUACACACCUUUGCUUCCGACACACUUCCAUGUCACAUGCCAUCCUGUCAGACUGCUUCUCUGCUGCCAUCUUGUCACGUGGCAACAACACGUAAUGGAACACUGUUGGGAAGGUUCAGCCUCAACUGCCAUACCACCAAUAUCCACCUCUGAUGCUGUGGGUCAACAAUAAAACAGGAGGCACUACCUUCGGAACAGCUCUUGUAUGUGAGGUCCAGCAGGUGCUGGCACCAGUAAAAAUAAUGGAAAUUUCAAAUAAAUAAGGUGAGCUGAGAAGGCCUCCUUAGAACACAUGUAAAAAAUUUCAUUAUCAUUAAACUUGGAAGCCAAGCACAGCUUUUCAUUUUCAACUCCCUGCAAGAUUGAUUUGACCUGUAUUUAGUGAGGGACUUCAGCCUUUUGUAGCCACCUGGAGCAGGGGACAGGCAAAGGCCAAGGCAUUUCCCUGUCCAGGUGGCCCUCAUAAAUAUCUCAGUGGAAUUUAUUUUCUUUCAUUUACUUUGGCAUUGCUUGGGCACUCCUUGAUUAAGGAGUGGUGUGUAGGAACUGACAUGCCCAGAGAUAGACAGCCACAUCUGCUAACCAUUUGGAUUAAUUAUUACACCUGUACCAUAAAACACAUGUUAAUAAAAGGCUGGUGAACAGGUUCAAGUUGCAGUUUUAAAAAGGGCCCAAAGAAAGCAAAAUGCAAGCCAUACACAAGAAGAGGCCAAACCUUUUGCUGAUAAGAUGCUGUAGGCUCCAACCACAUACAAGGAAGAGACAAUGUUAGAUACACUAAAUAUAUAUACAUAUAUAUAUCACACAAGCAAACAAAAUAGGAACGUGUGUAUCCUGGCAAACUAUGCCUUUGUAGACCAUUGGCUAGAAGGUGAACAACAGUACACAUUCUUUCUUUCCUUCUUUCUUUUCUGUUAGAUGUAAAAGGAAAAAAAUCAUUAAUCACUCUGCAGGAUACAGCACUUAAAUGGGUAAAGUUGCUGAAGGGGUCUGGUUAGAAUCAGCCGAUUUUUCAUUUCCUUUCAGUGGGGACAGUGUGGUGCUCUGGAAUCUCUGGAGACCAGGAGCAUGAAUGCAGGUAUUGAAUUUUCAGGAGGAGACAAUUAAGGCCAAAUAUGUGAGAUACAAUCAUAUUUAAAUUAAUUCAGGUACUUCAACUGAAGACUUAAACCCUCUGCCUUCUUUGAGAUGCAUAUCUGGGAGAGCUUUACUGAGCUGGUAUUAAUCAUUCUAGGUUUGUAUCAGUUACAGUGGAAAGCAGUGGAGCUCUGUAUUUAUUAUUUAUUCUAUUGAACUGUCUAUGGAAAAACAUUUUGCUGAAUAAACUCUUCAAAUAGCCUUUGCUAUUCGAGAAGGCCUCCUUAGAACACAUGCAAAAAAUUAAUUAUCAUGAGGAAGCCAAGCACAGCUUUUCAUUUUCAACUCCCUGCAAGGAGCAAGGUGCCAAUUCUGUUUAGUGUUAGAUAACUUCUGACCACAUCAUGACUUGUAGAUGGACUGAAAAGGAAUAGGUAUCACAGGACAACGGUGAAGGCAAGUGUAGAUCUCACUUUGGACUGCAUCUGUAGUUGACCCUUAUCUGUUAUUUUUGGAGGCUCCUUUGGCAUAUUAGUACUCAACACAGCAAAUAUCACUAAGGAGGAGGUGCAUCAUGCUGCUCUGAUGACCAGUACUGUUAGACAACCAUGCGUUGUUAAUGAAAUCUUUCUAAAUGAAGAAAGCCAGAAAAUGCUUCUCAAGCCUUCACAAAUAAGACUUGACUACAAACCCAUCACUUCAGUGCAUUUGGUCUUGACCUUUAAAUGUAGCAGUCACAUGAUCCAGGAGAAAGCUGAGGUCUCUAUUCUGCCACCAAACCCUGCCAAAGCUGUGGGUUCAGCUGAAGAGCUACUGCAUGCUUGGUGGAUUGACCGUGGUUACAAAUACCACUUGCAGGCAACUCCAAACUGCCUCGGUGCGAGGACAUAAUUUGCCCUCGGAGUGCUAUUAUAGACGUUUGCGUACGCUGAGCUUUUUAUACCCACGUCACGAGAAGGAAAACCGAAGGGGAAAACUCAGCGUGGAGGGUGAGAAAGAACAACAUGAAGAAAGAAGAAAAACACCCGAGUGGGCUCAGGGGGACGAGCUGCUGUGAGACAGCAAUGCAUGGCCGUGUGCACAGGGUACCGUGCAGCCCCUGGAGAAAACCAGAGAAAACAGCAUACGUUUUUGGUGCAUUCUAUCUGCUUUUCAGAGUCUAAAUGGGAAUCAGUCUUAAAAUGAAGAUUUUCAAACAAAAUGUCCUCUCUAGGUUUGUCUUUAAACCUUCGUCCUUAAUGUACUGAAAACACAACAACGGAUCCCUGCGCUUAAAAAAAUCUCUGUUGAAAAGGCGUGCUAAAAC
ensembl:lncRNA